rnacentral:rRNA from 16 species
AUCUCCAAUCAAGCAAGAGGACCCGCUGAAUUUAAGCAUAUAAGUAAGCGGAGGAAAAGAAACUAACAAGGAUUCCCUCAGUAAGGGCGACUGAAGCGGGAAGAGCCCAUGUUGCCAAACCUUCGGGUGUUGUGCCAUGCGUGUCUUUUGUCUGGCCAGGAGUAAAUCCCUUGGAACAGGGUAUCAGAGAGGGUGACAAUCCCGUUCGCCUCUUGGCUUUGGCAAUUGUAGACCGUGUAACGGAGUCGAGUUGCUUGGGAUUGCAGCUCAAAGCGGGUGGUAAAUUCCAUCUAAGGCUAAAUACGGGUGGGAGACCGAUAGCGAACAAGUACUGUGAAGGAAAGAUGAAAAGAACUUUGAAAAGAGAGUUAAAGAGUACCUGAAAUUGCUGAAAGGGAACCGUAGGUCAUCAGUGUUGGCUUCGUGCAUGUUUGGCUCUCCUACCUGGGGUGGUCUUUGUGCACGCGGCCUACUCAUCGUCACCAUUGCCCGGAGGACAGCUUGCGCUCUGGGUGGUGUUGGGGCUGAGAAAAUGGUGCUCUACACCCCGUCUGGAAACACGGACCAAGGAGUCUGACACAGGUGCGAGUAUUGAGGUGGCAAACCUCAGUGCGCAAUGAAAGUGAUGAUUGGACGCCCUUAAAAGCUGCACCAUCGACCGACCACUUGGCUACGGCCUCGAGGUUUGAGUGUGAGCAUUUGUGUCGGGACCCGAAAGAUGGUGAACUAUGCCUGAAUAGGGCGAAGC